UCACUUUCUCUCCUCUACCUGCAAAUCAUUUCUUUGUUUCUUCACUCUCUCUCUCUCUCUCUGUUCAACAAAUUUCACUUUUCUGAUCAAACUUUCCGCUGAAUUAAGCCCUAAGAUCGAGACCCACAUCGAUCAAAAACCCUAAUCGAGAUCGAUCAAAAACCCUAAUCGAGAUCGAUCAAUCAUGAAGCAGAAGCGGGCCUUUGCUAUGGUUUCGUCAUCGUCGUCUACCGUGAAACCCUUACGCUUCCCUGAAGAAGAAGAAUCAGUCCGGUGUUGGGAGAGCGAAACGGCGUCGUCAAACAGAACCCGACCCCAAAUCCAAUCCAGAUCAAGAAGAGGAUCGAAAACAAGAAACAUCAAUGAUGUCUUAAAAGAUGAAAGAUCCAAGAUUUCUGGGAUCAACCGGAUUUUGGGGACACCCAUUCCCGUGAGCAAUAACCUGACUUGGAGGCUUUUGAAAUCUCACAUGCGAAUUGAAUCUUUUUACUGCACCAAGCUCCACUCCGCUCUCAAUGCCAUCCACGAGUGUUUCGAGCCUUCCAAAGACCCCUACACCAACAGAGACAUUGCUGAGGACAUUGUCUUCGACUUGGAAUCCGAUUCCGAGUUGAAUUUGAGAGGGUUUUACACUGUGGUUUUGGAGAGGAGAGAUGAUGAUGAUGGUCAUCAGGAGAUGAUCGGUGCCGCCACGGUGAGGAUCAAUAAGGGAGUGGCUGAAGUGCCACUCGUGGCGACUAGGCCUCAGUUUAGGAGACUCGGUAUGUGCAGGAUUUUGAUGAAUGAGCUUGAAAAUCGGCUCAUGGAAUUUGGCAUUGAGAGAUAGUAUAACCUGAUAUGUGCUUUGGCGGAAUGUGUUCAUGAAUCUUUGUAGAAUUAACAUUCACAAUGAUAGUGUAACAUGAUAUCUCUUUUGGCAGAAUGUGUUCAUGAAGUCUUUGUAGAAUUGACACUCACAAUGGUAGGGAUGUUGCGUAUAUGUUCCAUUGAACCCAUAUUUUGAACAAGAAUGUGAGCAAGUCCUUUUUAUGUUCAUUGGACACUCGGAUUUGAGAUAUUUUGUGACAUGCCACCGUUCAUGCUUAAUGCUGCAUUACUUUCACAUCAUUUCUGAUAGACCAUUGACACAGUACUACCUUAGGUUCACUUACCAAAAGCUAGUCUGUAAGAGUCUGCUUUACAUCUUAGUACUUAAAACAGCACUUACUAGAAAACAAUAGAAACCUUUGUUUUCACAAAUUGAUAAGCUGUAGUUCGUUUCGGUUAAAUAGAUCAAUCCCUUUGGUUCUUUGAGUCAAAAAUCCAACUCUUUUCUUAGUAGAUAUGAGAUUUUGUAGUGGAUUUUAGUGGUUUUAUUUUGUUAUUUUAUUUUUUUGUUCUUGAAAGUUCAGUGCUCAAUAAUUCCUCUGAAUUUGCCCUGUUUAAUUAGUGUUUGGACUCCUUAGUGUUUUAGUUUUCCUCUUUAUAUAGUAAAUCCAAAACAAAAAAACAAAAGGCCCAUUUGGUGGAUUUUACUAAUGAUGUUAUUAAUUACAUGAUGCUACUGACAUGGUGAUUGCAAUCAUGUAAUUACUUAACCUGUUUAUGGGCAUGUUCAUUUGAGUAAGUGCAUGCCCUUAUUUCAACAUGCACCCUGUCAAAGCAACACCAAUAAUGUUGCUACUGUCAUCAUAGGUGUAUUAAGUCUGUCCGUUGUAGAUUUUGAGCCCUUGUUGUCAUUUGAUAAAUUGUGUUGUCAGAAUGUGCAAAAGUGAAUUGGUAGGCGUUUUGUAAGUGACCUCUGAAAGUUAAAAAACUAUUGAGUAAAUAGUGAUACAUGAGUUCUUGAAAAUCAUAUGUUCAAAUGAAUGUUACCCGGGCUUCAAUCUUGGGCAUAUUCAGUGCACGGAUUCAGAUAUUGAGGUAUAUAUUAUUUGUUAAUCUGCAGGAAUUGACUCCUAAUAGCUUGAAGAAAGUCAGCAUCAUGGGUACGUCCUAAAUUUAGAAUACUGUAAACUUCAGAUCUUUUGGUUCCUAAGCGUUCUGUCCUUUAUUUUCAUCGAGUUUGCCACCCACAUUUUACGAGUGAAGCUAUCAUGUACCAAUUUGUUGUCAUGUCCCAAUUUGUUGUGUAGCUUGUGAAGAGAUGGGAUGUAAUAAUGUAGGAUCAUGGGAAGCAACUGCUGUUGGUUAGCUUGCCUAAUUCUAGUGUUUUCUAUCCUGACUCUCUUUAUCUUAAUGUUGUGUAUUAGACUCUUAGAUCACUGACUUAAAUUUAUUAUGUUAUUUGCUGAAUUAUAGCUAGAGUUCCUCAGUCUCAGCUUACGUUUUCUUACCGUUCUUAAACCUCUCUUGUUUUCAAUCUUGACAGGAUAUAUAAAAUCCUUGUAAGCAUAAGAGCUGCCUUCAAGCCUUCUGGAUGUCUUGUCAGGUUAUAUCUCUGCUGUCGUGCAAAGGGCUUUACUGUUGAGGAUUAACUUGUUUACUGUUGAGCAUUAACUACGUGUAUUUAUAUAAGCUCUAUGCGCGUUUGUGUUCCCCAAAUUCUUGAACAUUACGGACAUUCUUUGGAUGCUGCUUGAUUCCUUGAUGAAUUUCAAUAUUGUAAAUGUUUUGUUCUAGUUGAAGAGUG